rnacentral:lncRNA from 1 species
AACGGACUAAAUGAAAAAAAGAAGAAGCGCGGGUCAGAUUGCAAAAAAGGGGGAAGAAAUUCGUGGGUCACAAAGACCGGGUCAAAAAACCCAAUCUCUCUCCCCAUUUGAAAGCUCUACCAUUUGCGAAUUUCUCAGAACCUCCCAAUCUGUCGAUUCUCUCUCUCCUCAAAGUAGCAGACGGAAGGGCUCUCCUUUCUCUCUCUUCAAACUGCUUCCAUCCCUCUCUCACACGAUAAACUAGCAGACGGAAGAGCUCAUCGGAAGGUCUGAGCUCGAAACCAUAGCAAACAGAAGGGAAGGUAAAGUAUUUGUAUCACUUUUUUGGGCUUGCAAUUUUUUUCCCAGGUAUUUGAAAAUCUAAGGUUUGUUCUUUAAAAAUCCUAAGCUCAAGUCGGCAAUACCUUUUUCUCAGAGCAUAAUUGCGACUGUUGAACAAAAUCUAGGGUUUGUUCUUUAAAAAUCCUAACUGCGACUGUAUUCUGUCACUUCAUAAAAUUUGUGCCACAAGCUCUUAAAAUUGGGGAAAACUACAAUAGGAUGGGGGACUAACAAUUAGGAAGUGUCCACUCAUUUUAAUUAGUUUUAUUUAAGAAAUGCUACAAACAUUAUAGUUUUUAUUGAGCAAAAAGAAAAAAAAAAGAAAAUUUGCCAAUAAAAGGAUUAUGUUGUGAAUCAUUGAUAUCAAAAGACUAUUAGUAUAUAAAUUUGGAGUACAUGGACAUACUGCUUUCUUUUUCAUUUUUUUCGCCUCAAUCCUCAUUUCUAUUUUAUUUUACAGUUUUUGUUAAUUUUGUUGUUAUCAAAUGAUUGUAUUGAUGUUUCUUUUAAUUCCUUCGAUUUUUAAUUUUCUGUUACUUUGGCUACUUCUUGUUUGAAGUUUGUGCCUGGCACUCUUAAAUAGGCUGAUCAUUUCAUAUGUAUGUGGUGAUGAAAAUUUGGUAAGAGUUUCUUGUAAUAGUUUGCUAGAGUUUCUUGUUUGGGUUGGUUUGGGUUCUUGUUGUCCAGACAGAUGACUUGAAUUUCCCAUAUCCAUCCCCCAAGAUCAUGAACCAACUUUAAUUUCUUGUUCUGGUGCCAUUGUGGAAGGAAAUGAAAGUGCAUUAUGACGCAUACUCUGCCAUCAAAUAUGACACCUAAUGGGGGAUGUAGAGCUGUAUAAAAGUACAAGAGACACCACCAGAGGACUCUUCAUUGGUAGUAAUUAGCUAUAUAUUUUUGGAAAUAGAUACAGUAAACUCCAUGAGUUUAUUACCACAAAAUAUUCAUAUUACAACUCCUUGCUUUAGUGAACAAAACAUCAUUACAUAGUUGAUACACCAUAAAAACCAACACAAUACAGGACACCAACACCACAUUUACUGCAACCUCAAUAGGAAGUUUAUUACAUAUAUUUGUAUGUCAUCAAAUUCGUCUACUGCUACAUCCGUAUGGCCUCCGUUCAUAUGUCGUUGUGGUACGGGCCCUUGUAUAGUAAAACUUUUAAUGUCGGAAAAGAAUCCGGGUAGACACUAUUAUUCUUGCCCAAGAAUGGUAUGUAUUUAUUUAUUGUAAUUUUUGUAUAUUUGUUCCUUUUACACAAGUGAAUAAAUUUAUUGUGUCCCAAAAUAUGCAGCAAUGUGGUAACUUUAUCAGCUAGUGUGACGAAUAUGUUCGCGUGUUGCAUAAUCAAGGGAGGUUGCAAAUGGACACAUCUGAGCGUUUAAAUAUAACAACUCAUCCAACAAAUAUUAACGACUCCAAUGAAUUAGCGAUGGUGAAAAUUGAAAUGCGUCAAUUGCAACUUACUCAACGAUUUGUCAUAAUUGUUAAUGUUAUGUAUGCGGUGUUGUUAAUGUUAUUAAAUCGGUUGUAAUUUUAAUAAUGCAGCAGUACCUUAUGGUGUAUGAGCAUUACUGAACAACUUUACUGAUGUGAAUAUUUGCUUGCUGGAUUUAGUUUUACACUUUAUUUUUUACUAAGGUUCCUUUUCUAUUAUUGAAACAAAUCUAUUAAGC